rnacentral:rRNA from 1 species
GACGAACGCUGGCGGCGUGCCUAAUACAUGCAAGUAGAACGCUGAAGGAGGAGCUUGCUUCUCUGGAUGAGUUGCGAACGGGUGAGUAACGCGUAGGUAACCUGCCUGGUAGCGGGGGAUAACUAUUGGAAACGAUAGCUAAUACCGCAUAAGAGUAGAUGUUGCAUGACAUUUGCUUAAAAGGUGCAAUUGCAUCACUACCAGAUGGACCUGCGUUGUAUUAGCUAGUUGGUGGGGUAACGGCUCACCAAGGCGACGAUACAUAGCCGACCUGAGAGGGUGAUCGGCCACACUGGGACUGAGACACGGCCCAGACUCCUACGGGAGGCAGCAGUAGGGAAUCUUCGGCAAUGGACGGAAGUCUGACCGAGCAACGCCGCGUGAGUGAAGAAGGUUUUCGGAUCGUAAAGCUCUGUUGUAAGAGAAGAACGAGUGUGAGAGUGGAAAGAUCACACUGUGACGGUAUCUUACCAGAAAGGGACGGCUAACUACGUG